rnacentral:rRNA from 1 species
CCUACGGGUGGCAGCAGUGGGGAAUAUUGCACAAUGGGGGAAACCCUGAUGCAGCGACGCCGCGUGAGUGAAGAAGUAUUUCGGUACGUAAAGCUCUAUCAGCAGGGAAGAAAAUGACGGUACCUGACUAAGAAGCCCCGGCUAACUACGUGCCAGCAGCCGCGGUAAUACGUAGGGGGCAAGCGUUAUCCGGAUUUACUGGGUGUAAAGGGAGCGCAGACGGCUGUGCAAGUCUGGAGUGAAAGGCGGGGGCCCAACCCCCGGACUGCUCUGGAAACUGUAAAGCUGGAGUGCAGGAGAGGUAAGCGGAAUUCCUAGUGUAGCGGUGAAAUGCGUAGAUAUUAGGAGGAACACCAGUGGCGAAGGCGGCUUACUGGACUGCAACUGACGUUGAGGCUCGAAAGCGUGGGGAGCAAACAGGAUUAGAUACCCGAGUAGUC